AUGCAGUGGGGAAUUUUGCGCAAUGGGGGAAACCCUGACGCAGCAACGCCGCGUGAGUGAUGAAGGCCUUCGGGUCGUAAAGCUCUUUUAGUGGGGAAGAAUCCCACCCGGGUUAAUACCUCGGGUGUCUGACGGUACCCACAGAGAAAGUUCCGGCUAACUACGUGCCAGCAGCCGCGGUAAUACGUAGGGAGCAAGCGUUGUUCGGAAUUAUUGGGCGUAAAGAGCGCGUAGGCGGUUCGGUAAGUCUGAUGUGAAAUCCCAGAGCUUAACUCUGGAACUGCAUUGGAUACUGCCGAGCUUGAGUGUGGGAGAGGAGAGUGGAAUUCCCAGUGUAGAGGUGAAAUUCGUAGAUAUUGGGAGGAACACCCGUGGCGAAGGCGGCUCUCUGGACCACAACUGACGCUGAGGCGCGAAAGCUAGGGUAGCAAACGGGAUUAGAUACCCCGGUAGUCCUAGCCGUAAACGAUGGGCACUAGGUGUUGGAGGUAUCGACCCCUCCAGCGCCGCAGCUAACGCAUUAAGUGCCCCGCCUGGGGAGUACGGUCGCAAGACUAAAACUCAAAGAAAUUGACGGGGGCCCGCACAAGCGGUGGAGCAUGUGGUUUAAUUCGACGCAACGCGAAGAACCUUACCUGGGCUUGACAUCCCUUGAAGGUGCUGGAAACAGUACCGUCUCUUCGGAGACAAGGUGACAGGUGCUGCAUGGCUGUCGUCAGCUCGUGUCGUGAGAUGUUGGGUUAAGUCCCGCAACGAGCGCAACCCUUAUCCUUAGUUGCCAGCGAGUAAUGUCGGGAACUCUAAGGAAACUGCCGGUGAUAAACCGGAGGAAGGUGAGGAUGACGUCAAGUCCUCAUGGCCUUUAUGCCCAGGGCUACACACGUGCUACAAUGGCCGGUACAAAGAGUUGCAAGCCCGCGAGGGGGAGCCAAUCUCAAAAAGCCGGUCUCAGUUCAGAUUGUAGGCUGCAACUCGCCUACAUGAAGGCGGAAUCGCUAGUAAUCCCGGAUCAGCAUGCCGGGGUGAAUACGUUCCCGGGCCUUGUACACACCGCC
rnacentral:rRNA from 1 species